CGUGGCGGCGUGCUUAACACAUGCAAGUCGAACGAGACGAUUUAAGCUUGCUUAGAUGAGUCGAGUGGCAAACGGGUGAGUAACGCGUAGACAACCUGCCGCAAAGAUGGGGACAACAGUCCGAAAGGACUGCUAAUACCGAAUGUUGUCAGAUUCCCGCAUGGGAGACUGAUUAAAGAUGGCCUCUACUUGUAAGCUAUCGCUUUGCGAUGGGUCUGCGUCUGAUUAGCUAGUUGGUGGGGUAACGGCCUACCAAGGCGACGAUCAGUAGCCGGUCUGAGAGGAUGAACGGCCACAUUGGAACUGAGACACGGCCCAGACUCCUACGGGAGGCAGCAGUGGGGAAUCUUCCGCAAUGGGCGAAAGCCUGACGGAGCAACGCCGCGUGAGUGAAGAAGGGGUUUUACCGGCUCGUAAAGCUCUGUUGACGGGGACGAAUGUGCGAGAUGCGAAUAGUUUCUUGCAAUGACGGUACCCGUCGAGGAAGCCACGGCUAACUACGUGCCAGCAGCUGC
rnacentral:rRNA from 1 species